GGGCCCGCGGCGGCGGAGCGCAUGCGCAGAGCGGCCUUGGGCGGUCGGCGGCGCUGUCUUCAGGGCUUGCGGCCACCCAGGGAUGCGCUUGUUGCCGUUCCCGCCGAGCCUUUCAGGCGGCGUCAGCCAAAAAUCUCUCGGUGCCAUGAGGCAGGACGGAAAGGCGCAGCCGCCGCCGCUGAGAAAUACAGUUGAUGAUUCUUUGCAGACCCAGACAUCUCUUCAUAAGCUUAUACUCCAGGUGAGAUUUUCAGGCAAACUUUAGCAACAAAAUAAUUAGGGAAGAAAGGCAGAUUAUCGAUAGCUAAACCAUUUUUUUUCAUGGGCCGUGUGCUUACUAAUUUAUUUAAGGCAGAUGGUGUUUUGUAACUUCAUGUGGCUGUGUUUAUUUGACCCAGGGGAUAUUUCCCUGAUACUACCAAAUGUUCUGCACAUUUUCACCCACAUCAUACCUUCAUGCCCACUAGUCCCUCACUAUCUCUGUACCUACCUAUCUCAUUCUCCCACUGUUUCCCCUGUUUUGAAUCUCCAUCCUUCACCUGUAUCCUCCCAAGGCUCUGUUUUACAUAUUCUCUUGCUUUCUUAAUCCCUGUUGCCAUGGUCAUUUGCGCUGCUUCUCUAACUCAGCAGUUUGUGAUUUCCUCAUUUCCACCUUUCAGCUCAUUCUGUUCCAUAGCACGACUCUGCCACAGCCACAUCCCCUUUUCUCUGCCUCAUUACCCUCCCCGGGGCCUUUGAGGGUCACCUUGACAGGCCCCACUGGAAAAUUCAAGCACACAAAGCAGAUGUUUUCGACCUCUGAACCACAUUUUGUAUAUUGUUGACUUUUUGCUUAACAGUAUCCUGGUACACAGCAUUUGAUACUUUUUGCUGUCCAUAGUGGCAAGGACGUAAUAUAAUAACUCCACAGUGAAAAUGAAUAGUAAAAUCCACAUAGUCUGGUGAUGUAAUCAGAUUUUGCAGGUGGCCUUUGUACUGGUAGACCCAACAUACAUCUGAGUAGAUUUCUGUUCAGGGUUAUGUAUUUUGUUAGAUACUGUCACUUAAAUUGUCUUUUGGGCACUUCCCAGUUGUCUUAUUAAAUGCUCCUGCUGAAGCAUUAGGCAAGAAUGGUGCAGGUUCCGUGUUUCAACUCUGGCAUUACUUUUAGUGAGUGGUGGCAGUGAGGGGGGAUCAGCAGUGCUUUCCUUUUGCAGUAGCAGAUCCGAAUUUUCCAGUAAACCAGACUGAUAAUAAGCAUUAGAAAUUAAGCAAAAGAAAGUUUUAGAUAUUUACCUUCUUGAUCUUUGAACGAGAUGGGAAUUCUGUGUCAUUACACAGAAAGGUGUCGUUACUGGCUACGAUGUAUCAUAGUGUGAGCACUGGCACGGGGCUGUCAAUGGUUUUCCUUCUGCAGUAACACAAGACCAGGAUUUUUAUCUCCAGGUGUUUCAAUAUAAAUACAUAUUGAAAAAUCCUGAAAAUAUUUAAAAUGUAAUCUUCUGGGCCUGUUAACUCCUCUCAGGUACCUCCUUGGCACAAAAUUCUUCAUCAAUAGUUUCAGUAGAGUGCAAGAAAUGUGAGCAUCAACAAAAACAGCAGAUGAGAUGUACACACUUCUCUGAAGGUAGAAAAAUUGAAUACUCGUAUCAGUCUUGAUUAACAAAAAAUGCAGGGAGGGACCAUAAUAAACACCAAGCUCUAUAAGCAGAAGGCUUACUCAGUUAUCUAGGAACAUCUACCUUAAGUCAUCUUAAAGUAACACAGUAAUUCAUACAGCCACGGUCCCACUUAAAAAAGUUGAAAUGACGAAAAAUCCUAACUUUUCCAUCUGAACUGUUUCUGUACCCAGUGCUCUGGAAAAAUAAUUGCUGUCUCCCAGAAGUAAAUGAAAACCUUUACUAAAUUUGGUGCUGGUAAACAGCUGAAAAUCCUCUGCAUGCAACAGGCAAAUGAGCAUGUUGCAAUCGUUAUUAUACAAAAA